GGGGACGGGAGGGGCGGCCCAGCCCUCGGACUUCCAGUAACAGGUCCUGUAUGAGCCCCGAUUUCCAGAAAGGGAAAAUCUGAGGCUCAGGGAUGUGAAGUCACAAGUUGGCCAGUGAUGGCCCCUUUUUCUGCAGCAAUGAGCCUGUCCAUUCCAUCCCUACCUUUGGUUUCCAGUCCCCAAACCAAUUCCCAGGGGAAAACUCUGGCCGAGAACGGUGAGAAUGUGGCCAGCUGAAAUUCAAACCUAGGUGGAGAAGUAAUAAUCGAUGGUCAAGUGUGUUGAGCGCUGACUAUGCACUGGGCACAGAGCUAAACCCUUCCUUGCAGGGGUUCUCAGCGGCCUCAAGGGCACGUUUUCAACUGCAGGUGAUGAUGAACUAUGGAAUUUGUGAAAUCGGUUUAAGGGAUCCUCAAAUCAAUCGACUGACCUCUGACCCUGAAACAGUGGAAGAGUCUAGAAUAGAAAAUACAAAGUAGAUCCCAUCUAUUAAGGGGGUCUCUUGUUCUGCGCAAUUUUUACUCCUAUGUGUGUACGUGUGCUGGGUUUAACAUAAAGUAUAUAAUAGCAAUGAUAUUAAUUAAUCAGUACUUACUGAGUUCUUAUAACCUACCAGGCUUAGUGCUAAGAGCUUAACAUGUAUAAUUCAUAUAUAACAAAUCAAUCAAUGAAAUAUCUUUCUCCUGUUUGGAGUUUUAAAAAGAAUUUUGGGGUAUAUUUGGGUACCUUUGAUUAUUUUAUUUUUUAAAAAUCAUCCCCAGGACG